rnacentral:lncRNA from 10 species
UCAUUGUAAAUGAUGGCUUCAGUUCAACACAAAUACAAUUAAAUAAACCAAAACUUCUAGGACUAGCAAAGGGGAAAGAAUUCUCAAAGAUACUCUUUUCUCUGGCUUUCCAUAUUGAAAAUAAUUUCUCAUUUUGACAAUAUAACCUGAUAAAAACCUUCCAUCUGUGAUGGUUAAUACUGAGUGUCAACUUGAUUGGAUUGAAGGAUGCAGUAUUGAUCCUGGGUGUGUCUGUGAGAGUGUUGCCAAAGGAGAUUAACAUCUGAGUCAGGGGAUGGGGAAGGAGACCCCCCUUAAUCAGGUAGGCAAGACCUAAUCAGCCGCCAGCAAAUAUAAAGCAGGGGAAAAAACGUGAAGCAAAGAGAUGGGCCUAGCUUCCUAGCCUACAUCUUUCUCCUUUGCUGGAUGCUUCCUGCCCUUGAACAUCAGACUCGAAGUUCUUCAGCUGUGGGAAUCGGACUGGCUCUCCUUGCUCCUCAGCUUGCAGACAACCUAUUGUGCGACCUUGUGAUCAUUUCUGGAGUCUGGAAUUCCAAGAUAAAGAUGCCAACAGAUUCAAUGUCCAGGAAUGAUCCAGUUACUGUUUCAUGGACAGCAGUCUUUUCACUGCGUCUUCAGAUGGGGAAAGAGUCUUAAACUUGGAGCUGAAGAAGCUGAAGAUGCCAAAAAGAACAGAAAAAUUCCCUGAUGACAAGAGAUGUUCUCUCUAGCCCAAAGGAUGAGGAAAGAGACAGACUAUCAAGACAGGAAAUUUAAGUAGUAACUGCAGUGAUUCAGCUAAACAUCACAGAGAAAAAAUGUAAAGAUUUUAUUAGACAGUAGUCUAUUUCAACUGAUGUAUCAUGGAAAAUGCUAAAGCAUAUAUGCAUUUUUUCGCUGAUGUUAUAUUCAUUCUGAUAAUUGACUUGUUAUCAAUGGAUAUAUUGAGUUAAUGUAUAAACAGUUCUUAAGAGUCUUGACUUAUAUUGCCAAAAUGCUGUAAAACAAAGUUUUCAUUCCAAUUUGCAAUACAUGAGUAUGUUAUUAGAUGACAACCUCAUCAGCAUCAUCUACAAAUUUUUAUCAAACAUCUGGUGAACAAUUAUUGUUGACUUUGGUUGCUAAUAUGAUUGAACCGUCUCUGCUUUUAUUCAUCAUUUGCCUUCAGUCUAUUAUCUCUUAAUUUUCUUGAUUUAAAAAAAAAUUAGUUUGUUAGUGUUACUCUCAUUGCUUUGAGUCAUAACUAUCACUUAUGUACAAAUAUGUUCCCAUCUUUAUUUUCCAUUUACUUGUUAUUUAUUGCUUAUUAUACAUAACGGCUUUUUACAAAUUGUUUUUGGUAGCUUACUGAAAAUUUUUCAUCUCUCCAGCCCCUCAAGAGUAUGUUAGCAGCUGACACAUAUAUAUGACAACCUAAAAUAUCAUUAGCCAAAUGACACAUGUUAUAAUAAAGUAGAAAAGUAGUUUGGAGGUAUAGUAGUUGCUCCUUAUCCACAUGGUAUAUGUUCUAAAACACCCAGUGGAUGCCUGAAACCAUGGAUAGUAUUAAACACUAUAUACACUGCUUUCUUGUAUGCAUAUAUACCUAUGAUAAAGUUUAAUUUAUAAAUUUAGCACAGUGAAAGUUAAUAAUAAAAUAGAACAAUUGUAACAGUAUUCUGUCACAAUUUCUCAGAUAGAAGAGUUGUUCUUACCGUAGAGCUUAGGAACUGCAGCGUAUGGUUGUUUUUUUUCUUUCCAUAUAUGAUAGCAAGAACCUUUACUUAUGCACUUAAAGGAUUUUGUGGCUUCUCUUUGGCAUAUCCAAAUUGCCAGCAUCACUAUUCUUGCACUUGAGGCUAUUAUGAAGUAAACUGAGGGUUACCCGAACACAUGCACUAUGAUACUGUGACAAUCAAUCUUAUAAACCAAAGGGCUACUUAUUGACUCAUGGGCAGGUAGCUUAGAGAUCAUGGAUAUGCUGGACAAAGGGAUAAUUCACAUCCUGGGCAAGACAGAGCAGGAACGUGUUAGACUUCAUCAUGCUACUCAGAACAAUGUGCAGUUUAAAAUCGUGAAUUGCUUAUUUCUAAAAUUUUCCAUUUAAUAUUGUCAGAUCUUGACCGAUUGCAGGUAACAAAAACUGAAAAGUGAAACCACUGACAAGCAGACUACUGUAAUAGUAUAUAAUGUAAUAUUUCAGCAAUAUUCAAAACUUCAGAUGAUUUUAAAAUUGUGAACUAAAUAUUAGUGUUUAAAAUUUAAGGGGAAAAUAUAAGACACUGAAAGAUAGAAAGAAGGAAGACUGCCUUUCGUAUUUUUUUGUUUUUGCCUCCUAAAUCUUAAACUUGGAGUUGAAGAAAAUGAAGAUGGCAAUAAAAACAGACAAAAAUUCCCCGAUGACAAAAGAUGUUCUCUUUAGCCCAAAGAGACAGUCUAUCAAGACAAACUUUAAAUAGUAACUGUUGUGAUCCAGCUAAACGUCACAGAAAACUGUUGUUCUACACUCAUCUACAUCAGCAAAGGACAAGUGGGAAGCCUUGAAUUUCACACUUACUAGGCCACAAAAAGCUUCCCCUAAUUCCUGCAAGCCUAGUGUCAGAUAAGACCAGGUAGGAAAUUAGGAAUUUCAUUUUCACUGACUGGCAAUGAGUGCCAAAUGUGUGAUGUCAGUGUUGAAAACAGGGGAAGCCUGGACUACAAUCCCUUUUAGCGUUAAUAAGUUACCUUUGUCCCUCUCUACGUGGGCUGUAUCUGAAGAUGGUAGAGAGUCAGGACUCUCAUCAACACUCAGGAUGAAUAAAGCCUUCACCAUCAUGGAGCCCAUGUAGAGACCAGAAGUCUCAGUAGGAACUUCUGUCCAGUAGCAAGGAGGAAUCCUCUCAUUUUGUAUGACAAUGGAAACUAUGUAGAGAAUUUAGACUACUAUCUUCAACUGGCAGUAAUAGAGUGCCCCACUCCUUUCUCCUGUAAAAAUGGUGUCAGGGAAAGCAAGUGAAGACAGAAAAUUAAAUGAAAUCUAUAUUUUUAUACCAUAAUACCCACAUUGGAAAAUCAUUCAUUAUACAGAGAACAGGAAGAAGGAAGAUUUCAAACUGAAUGAAAGAAAAUCAACUGAUGCCAACACUGACAUGAUAGAACUAUUAGAUUUAUAUGAUAGUAAUUUCAAAGCAGCUAUGUUAAAAUGCUUCAAGGAACAAUUAUGAACAUACUUGAAGCAAAAGUAAAAAUUGAAAGUUUCAGCCCAGCUCAGUGGCUCACACCUGUAAUCCCAGCACUUUGGGAGGCCAAGGCAGGCGGAUCAUGAGGUCAGGAGCUGGAGACCAUCCUGGCUAACACAGUGAAACCCUGUCUCUACUAAAAAUACAAAAACGUAGCCGGGCAUGGUAGCUGGCACUUGUAGUCCCAGCUACUUGGGAGGCUGAGGCAGGAAAAUCCUUUGAACCCAGGAGGCAGAGGUUGCAGUGAGCCAAGAUAGAGCCACUGCACUCCAGCCUGGUGAUACAGCUAGACUCUGUCUCAAAAAAAAAAAAAAAAAAAAAAAAAAAAAAGUUUCAGCAAAUACAUAGAAGACAUAAAGAACCAAAUGAAGAUUAUAGAACUGAAACAUAAGAUACAAAAUACAAAAAUAAAGUGGGUAAGCUUAAUAGCAAAAGGGAGGAGAGAAAGAAUAGGAUUAAUGAACUGGAAGAUAGAAUAAUAGAAAUUACCCAAUCUGGAGGAGAAUGGACUGAAACAUAAUCAACAGAAACUCUUGAACCCAUGGGCUAUAACAGAAGAUCCAAUGUUUAUGUGAUUGAAAUCAUAGAAGGAAAGGAGGAAGAGGCAGGUGUUAAAAUUUUUCAACAAAAUGAUGGCUGAAACCGCUCCAGAUUGGACUAAAUCAAUUAUUCAAUAAACCUACAGACUCACGAAGCUGAGCAAAUCUCAGAAUAAUCUCAAGGAAAUUAAGGCUAGGAGUAGUGGCUUACGUCUGUAAUCCCAGCACUUGGGAGGAUCACUUAGAGCCCAGGAAUUUGAGACCAGCUUGGGCAAUACAGUAAGACCCUGUUUCUACUAAUUUUUUUAAAAAAAUAGCCAGGUGGGCCAGGCACAGUCGCUCAUGCCUGAAAUCCCAGCACUUUGGGAGGUCAAGGUGGGCAGAUCAUGAGAUCAGGAGGUGGAGACCAGCCUGGCCAACACGGUGAAACCCCGUCUCUACUAAAAAUACAAAAAUUAGCCAGGUGUGGUGGUGCAUGCCUAUAAUCCCAGGUACUCGGGAGGCUGAGGCAGGAGAAUCGCUUGAAAGCAGGAGGCAGAGGUUGCAGUGAGCCGAGAUCACACCAUUGCACUCCAGCCUGAGAGAGACAGAGAAAGGCUCCGUCUCAAAAAUUAAAAAAAAAUAAAAUAAAAUAAAAAGAAAAAUGCCAGUUGUAGUGGUGCGUGCCUGUAGUUCCAGCUACUCAGGAGCCUGAAGAGAGAGGAUCACUUGAGCUGGAAGUCUGAGGCUACAGUGAGCUGUGAUCGCAUCACUGCCCUCCAGCUUGGGCAACAGAGUGAGACCCUGCCACAAAUUAAAAAAAAUAAUAAUGACAAAGUCUAUAAUAUUUAAAUUUCUGAAAAUGAAAGACUGUUGAAAGUCUUAAGAGCUGCCAGAUAAUAGCAUCACCUUAUCUAUGAUGGGAAAUGCAAUUAGAAUGACAGUGGAUUUCCCAUCAGAAACUACUGCCUGAGAAAAUAACAAUAUUUUUCAAGUCCUGGGGAAAAUGAAAUCUGUAUACUCAGAAAUUAAGACUUUCUUAAAUGAAGGAAACCUAAGAGAAUUUAUUUGCAGAUUGAUUCUAAAAAAUGGCUAAAGGGGCCUGUAAUCCCAGCAUUUUGGGAGGCCGACGUGGGCAGAUCAGGAGAUCAAGAGUUUGAGACCAGCCUGGCUAACAUGGUGAAACUCCAUCUCUACUAAAAAUACAAAAAAUGAGCUGGGCGUGGUGAAAUGCACCUGUGGUCGCAGCUACUCAGGAGGCUGAGGCAGGAGAAUCGGUUGAACCCAGGAGGAGGAGGUUGCAGUGAGCCGAGAUAGCACCACUGCACUCCAGCCUGGGCGACUGAGACUCCAUCUCAAAAACAAAAACAAAGAAAACAAAACAAAAUGGCUAAAGUUUUGAUGUCUAAUAAGAAAAGAAACAAUAAAACGAAAGCUUGGAAUACUAAAAAGGAACAAAGACAAACAUAUGAAAUGUGGGUAAAUAGAAUUUCCUUGUUCUCAAUUUUUCCAAAUCAUAUACUAGGGGUAAAAUGAAAAUUAUAACACCACUGUAGUCUGAAAUGUUUGUGGAAGAAUUGUUGAACACAAUUAUAAGUAGGAGAGGGUAAGGGAACAUAGGGAGAACUCAAACUGAUGAAACAGCAGACUGUGAUUAGUAAUGUAUACAUAAUCUAAUAGCUAGAGAAACCACUUAAAAGGCUAUAUAAAGAGAUAUACAAAAACACUAAAAAUAAGUCAAAAUGGGAUUCCAAAAUAUAUUCAAGUAACCCAAAAUUAGGCAGAAAAAAAUGGAAAUAAAGCAGAAAAGUAUGAAAGAGCAAAAGUAAUCCCAACAUAUCAAUAACUAAAUGUAAAUGCUCCAAAUAUACCACCCCAAAAUAGACACUGACAAAAUAGAUUAAACAACAUAGCGCAACUGUAUGUUAUCUAUAAGAAACACACUUCAAAUAUAACAGUAAUGGUAGUUUGAAAACAAAAGGUUGGAAAAUACAUAUCAUGCAAAUAUUAAAGUGGCUAUAUUAAUAUCAAAUAAAGUAGAUUUAAGAACAAAAUAAAUUACCAUGUAUAAAAAAGGCACUGCAUAAUGAUAGAAGGAUCAUUUCACCAAGAAAACAUAGCAAUCCUAAAUGUGUAUCCACCAAACAGGAGAGCAAAUAGUUCAUGAAACAACUGAUAGAACUGAAAGCAUAAACAGACAAAAUCUACAAUUAUCAGUAGAUACUUUAACACUCAUCUGUCAAUAAUUGAUAGGGCAAUUAGAUAGAUAAUCUGCAAGGGUAUAGAAGUUAACAACCUCAUCCACUAACAGAAUCUAAUCAGCAUUUGUCCGCAACUUUACACUAAAACAGAAGAAUAUACAUUCCUUUCAAGUACCCAUGGUACAUAUUACAGAAUGGAAUAAAAAAAAAAAAAAAAUCCCAAAUUUAAAACAGGUGAAAUCAUUCAAUCACAAUGGAACCACCUGAAAACCAAUAAAGACAAGCAGACAAUCAAGCAAAUCAAUUUCUCUGAACACUUAGGAACUAACCAGACCAUUUCUAAAACAUCCAUGGUUUAAAGCCAACAUCUCUAGUGAAAUUUUAAAAAAUACAAUGAACUGAAUGAAAAUGAAUAUUCAACAUUUCAAAUUCACAGGAUAAAGCAAAAGCAGUGCUGAGAGGGGACUUUAUAGCAUUAAAUACCUACCUGAGAAAAAUAGAAAAAAAUCUUAAUCUAAUCCCCAACCUGAAGAACCAAGGGGGAAAAAAAGCAAAAUAAACUUAAAGCAGAAGGAAUAAGUAAUGAAGUAAAAGUCAUUGAAAUUUAAAGCAGUUAAACAAUAGAGAAAAAUCAAUAAAAUAAAAGUUUGACUGUUUGAAGAGUUCAGUCAAUAAAACUGACUUGUAGCAUGACAGGAAAAAAGAUAUAAAUUACCAUUAUCAGAAAUGAAAUGGGAUUUCACUAUAGACCUUGCUGACAUCAAAUUAUAAUAAAAAAAACUACAACUCUCAAAACAUAAAUUUGACAACUUAGAAUGAUCGAUUCUUUGAAAAACAUAAAAUGUCACAAUUCACACAAUAUAAAAUAGUUUGCAUAUCCUUCUAAUACCAUAAAAGGAAAAUGAAUUUUUCAUUUGAAAACUCCCCCCAAAAAUUCCACAGGUCUAGAUGGUUUCACUGGAAAAUUAUAUCUAAAGCUUAAACAAGAAUUAACACCAAGUCUUCAUAAUUUCUUUCAGAUAUAGGAAAAGCAGAAAAAAUUAUGUGUUAGUCUGUUUUCACAUUGCCUUAAAAACCUGCCUGAGACUGCAUAAUUUAUAAAAGAAAGAGGUUUAAUUGACUCACAAUUCAGCAUGGCUGGGGAGGCCUCAGGAAACUUAUAGUUGUGGUAGAAGGUGAAGGGGAAGCAAGACAUCUUCUUCACAAGGCAGCAGAAAGGAGAAUAAACGCAGGAGGAACCAUCAAACACUUAUAAAACCAUCAGAUCUCGUGAGAGCUCACUCACUCUCAGGAGAACAGCAUGGGGAAACUUCCCCCAUGAUUCAAUUAGCUCAACCUGCUCUCUCCCUUCACAUGUGGGGCUUAUGAUGAUUACAAUUCAAGAUGAGAGUUUGGGUGGGAGCACAGCUGAAACAUAUUAACUUCUCAAUUUACUUCAUGAAGCCAGGAUUACCUUGAUAUAAAAACAAGCCAAAGGCAGUACCAAAAUGAGACCAAUAUUCCUCAUGAAUAUAGACACAAAAUAUCUUAUUAAAAUGAUACUUUAGCUUGGUUUAUAGUGUUGUUGAAGUUUUAUAUAUCCCUCCUAAUUUUCUAUUUCUUUUAGCAAUUAUUGAAAUGUGUGCUGACAUCUCUAACUAUGGUUGUGGACUUGUGUAUUUCUUCUUUCAGUUAUAUAGGGUUUUGCUUCACCUGUUUUAUGUUUGUAAUAGUUGCGUGAAUCAUUAGGACUAUUAUAUCCUCCUGGUGAGCAUCCUUAAUUCUUCUUGAAUUACAAGACUUCCC